UACGUAGGGGGCGAGCGUUGUCCGGAUUCAUUGGGCGUAAAGAGCUCGUAGGCGGUCCCGCAAGUCGGGUGUGAAAUCCCAAGGCUCAACCUUGGAACUGCAUCCGAUACUGCUGGACUUGAGGCAGGUAGGGGAAGGUGGAAUUCCCGGUGUAGCGGUGGAAUGCGCAGAUAUCGGGAGGAACACCGGUGGCGAAGGCGGCCUUCUGGGCCUGUCCUGACGCUGAGGAGCGAAAGCGUGGGGAGCGAACAGG
rnacentral:rRNA from 1 species